CUAGAGUCUCCUGCUCCUCCAUUCCUGCUUCCUCCUCACGCUGCCCCCUACAUCCUCCCCAACUCACCUUCAUGCUACAUCUCGGCAAAUACAGCUCAUAUCCAGACACAGUGCUGCCCUUGACAGCUGGGUCCGCAAAGGCAGGUCGGAUGUUCUGCCAAUUGAAUGGAAACUGUCUAUAGUGGGGAGCAGAGGGCCUCAUCUUUUCUGGAACUGAACAUCCAUCCUUAAGGCCAGAGUUCUCCUACCACCAACUUUAACUCCUGCCCUAGCCCUCUCUCUUCCUUUUCAAAACCCUCUCCACCCAGGAAGGGAGAUUCUGGAGCCAAGACUACCAGCCACAAUUUCCCAGAGUUGUUAAGGAAGGAACUCGAAGCCAGGGGUGGUCCUCUGGCAAGUGCCCCCACCACCAAUAGCAGGACAGAUGUGUUUCUAAAGGACUACACUAUCCCCGGAGGUCACAUGAUUCAGGCUGCCAAGGGUACCUGCCCUUGGGAAAUCAACUCCUGAAGGUAAACUGGGAUUGGGCCCUGAGAAGAUCCAUGGAAGCCCAGAGGACCCUGCCUCCCUCUGUUGCUUUAUGCUGUAGAGGCAGUACUGGGGAGGGCCUGCCCCACAUCCGGCGGGGCAGCUGAGACCAUGCAUUUGAUGACACUCUGCUCCCUCAAUGUGGAGCCUCAUCCUCAUCUCACAGUCCAGUAGGCCUCUGGUGGGUUAGGCUUGUCUCACCCAGUGUGUGAGUUUUUUUGGAAGUGACCUGAUUUUGGAGUUUCCCUCCAAGCCUUUCCCAGGCACAUGCUUUCUCUUUCAUUCUGUCUUCUUUUUUCGAUCUUCUUAAAUCUGAUUUUCUCCUUUUUCCCCUGUCAUCUCUAUCUUUUUUCCAGUCUCUCGCUUCUCUUUAUUUCUCCCCAUAUUUCACUCUGUUCUCUCACCCCACCCUUUCCCUUCUGUAUCUCUCUCUCCCUUUCUUCCCACCCCCUGCCUGGCCUUCCAUAUAUCAAGCAGAGUUUUAUUACCUUAUGCAGGGGCAGCCCUGCCACCUGCCAUAAAGGUGAUAGGCUAAUGACAGUUUGUGGAUAUUGCCAUGUCACAAGUCCAGGAAUAGCAUCAAAAAUAGCCCUGAUGUCUAAACCACUUCAGCUAUCUUUUUUAUUUUUAAAAUAAAUACAUUCACAUGCUUUUAAGAAACUAUAAAAAUGUAUAAAGUAAAAAGAUCUUUCUCUCACACUGUCUCCACCUCUCCUGGUCUCACCGUUGUGCUUAGGGGAAACCAUUGUGAUUAGUUUCUUCUAUGUCCUUCCAGAGUGUCUUUAUGCAGUUGAAAAUUAUUGUGAUAAUAUAUUCCUAUUUUCCCCCUUACUACACAGAAGGUAGACUACCAUAAUCCCAUUCUGCACUUUUUUUCACUUGAUAAUAAAAACAUGAUUUUAUUAA
rnacentral:lncRNA from 1 species